UCAAUAGUUCCAUCGCUCGGUUUCCAUCACGUCGAUUGGUGUCAGAGCCACGCCUAUGAAAAAUUUGCGCGGCUCUGAUACCAGUUGAUGCAAUGGAAACAUCGAUAUUGCCUGA
rnacentral:pre_miRNA from 1 species